UCCUGACUUCCUUUGAUGAUGAACAGUGAUAUGGAAUAUGGACUCUUAGGAGUUGACCCCAGGGCUGAGGCUUAAAGGACUUAGCAAAGAAGAGAGAAAAGAAUGUUCCAGAACAUGGAAUAGGAGGACAAGGAGACAGAAGUACAGCAUGACUGAUAUGGGGACGCCACCUUAAUGGAGUGUGACUAAGGCCAGAAAUCAAAUGUAGCCCAGCACCCUGCAUCUGCUCUUUUGUUCCUUCAUCGGCCCUUUACCGCCAACGUCACGGUUCCUGAGAGCUAUGAACUGGUCACUGUGCUAAAGAUGGACGUCUCUUUUGGCUGGAGUAGUAUCUGAUGUCAUUUGAAUCAGAAGCAUGAACCUAACGCGGUGAGAGGCAGGGAUGACGGAAGGUGGAGAGGACUGUCUCGGCCAGGAGCCCUGAGGGAGCAAACCCCACGAAAGGCACUGCUGCUGUGAUGAUAAAAACUAUGCUGAGAAUAACAGCAACCUCGAGGCUCAGCAGCCUCACAGGGAAGACCGAAUUCUCUGCUAAUGGGGUUCAUCUAUGCGAGACAAAGACAACCCUGUCCCAGAAGCACUCUGAUCUACGUUCAGGAUGAACCACAUUUCUUGGCAACACGACCCAAGGCUAAGAGCCGUUCCAAUGGGCUCUUGCUGCCUCGGACACUCUGCAAAACACUGAGGUCUGUGGAUUCAGGAACUCCCCGCUCUCAACCCCACCCCAUUCUCUGCUUUUUCUCAAGCUCUUGUCUCUGCCCAGAAGCAGGACCCUUCUCCCAGCUGGCCCUCAGCCACUGUCCACCCACCCUGGGGCCAGACUCCAGUGGCCCUCUGAGACUUCAAGGACCGUGUUUCCCUGAUGGGCCCAUGCCACUGGAUAUACAUAAUGGCCCAUGUUUUCCAGAAGCUCUCAGAGGGUGGGAAUACUUUGUAUUGAUCUUGGAAUUCUCUGUGGCUGAGACCCAGCUUGUGCAAGAGGACAUGAAGACAAUGUGUAGGGAAGGAUAAGGUGCGUGUUCUAGGUGUUUGUAUUGCACAGCAACUCUGAUUUCCAUAUUUGUAUAAGCAUGCCAGGGAAUGGUGUGGGGAGGCCCUGAGCUCCUAUCUGGAUAUACAAAUGAGAUGGUGGCCUCAUUCGUUUUCCUCGGUUAUUUUCCAGUGAGUUGCUCAGCCACCAUGCCUGCCUUGGCUUUCUUUGGCCUGUGUGGGAUAAAGUGUUGGGGCCCUGGUAGCCACGCAGGCAGUUCCUAACCACCACAUACUAAGGCACCCAGGGCCCCUAGCCAGCACCUGGGUGUAUGCAUCUGGAAUCAGUAGUGCUCUUCUUUCCUACCCCAGGCCACAGGCCUCCCUGGCCCAUGAAUGGUGGACUUUCAGACUCAUUUUUCCCCCCACAGUGAUUCUUGACUGAUUUCUUUGCUGGGGUAAAGGAAAAGAAAUGGCAGUUUUGAUCCCCAAUUCUGUACCAGGCCGGUGGCUGCUGUUUGUCUUGGUCAAGUGUUGCAGCAGCCACUGGGACGGUGUCAUUUGCCCCAUGUUACAGAUAAACAGAGUUUCUGGAGGCCGAGAGAUUCCUGGCCAAAGAACAGUGAAGCGCUGCCACCUUGGUCUACAUGGAAACUGCAUCUGCUCGCUUCCCACACCCUGGGUGAGGAUACGGUUCCUAGUUAGGCUUGGCCUGCAUAGGCCCUGCAGCCUCCCCAGACUCUGGCCUGGCCCUCGUGCUCAACCUCAAGAUCAAAGAAAACAGUCUUGGCACCCAGAGCAGUAGUUCUUUAAAAAAGAACAUUCUUUUUAAAAUGUUCUCACAACAAAUGGUUGUGAGCCACCAUGUGGUUGCUGGGAAUUGAACUCAGGACCUCUGGAAGAGCAGUCAGUGCUCUUAACCACUGAGCCAUCUCUCUAGCCCCUGGAACUGACUUUUGCUUUGGGCUUCUGCUUGGUGUGGCGAGAAGGACCAGACCUGGAGAUCCUCAGGCCUAUGUGCCGAGGUCUUCCACUUGUCAAUGAGACAAGGUGACAAAUACUGCUGUCUCCCUCAUUUCACUGCCCAGCUUCCUGUGCUCUGCCCUCAUUUUAGGUAGCCCUGGUUCUUAGCAAGGCUGUGUGUGGUUGCUGGUACCAAAUCUGCUGCCAAUCACAUCUGCUCCUCUUUCCUGGUCUCUGAAUACUUUUAUGGUCCAGAGCAGAAAUGAUUUAAAUGGGUAGUAGGAAGGGGUACAGAUUUUAAAAUGGGGAGACACAGUCGUGCCUUGGUAUGACCUGGGCUGUUGUGUACUCUGCUCAAAUGUGUGUGUAACUCUACAGCAUCCUAUCUGGGUUCGUUCCAAACUGCACCCUGUUCCCGUCCCAGUAUUUCAAUUAGGAUGUUAAAGAAAUGUAACCAUGAAAAUAUGUGCUCCGCACGCCAUUCUGAUGUUCUCUUUUGAUAUAAAUUCUUAUCAAUUGCCUCAGAUGAUACUGACACCCGAGUGGGAAUCUGGCAGAAGCGUCUCGAUGGGCAGUCUCAGUGGAGUGCCUGGGUGGGGGCGGCAGGAAUGGGGCCAGGCCCUCUGAAGUGUCUGCUGAGGAUCCUGGGACCUGGGUGUGGGAGCUCAUUAAGCACUAUCUUUGCCAACACUGUGGGUGUGGUUCAAUCUGGACCAAGAGAUAAGGGUACGACCUGAGGCACCAGAAAGGAAGACGAGGCAGGUGGAGACUGGCCAGACACGUCCCAGGAGGAGGGAAGAAUAAAAGGCAGCAAAGCUGGGUGGGGAGACGGGAGCUGGAAACAAGCUAAGGAGUCAGGAGAACUGAGACCUGGAUGUAUCGUGGGUAACGGAGAAGAACGAGGCAGGUCGCUAGCUUCUCAGGGAUGGGGAUGGGAUGAUGGCAAAAGGAAUAGGGCUACCAGUGGGCAUGAUGAUGCCUAGGUGGGCUCCCCGGUGAGCCCCAGGCCAUGGUGACAGCCAGGAUGAGCUACUGGAGAUCAGAGAGGAGGAGCCAUGAGAAAGCUGUGGGUCCCUGGAUGUCUGGGGAGUCUAGAGCACGGGUGGUCUCAGGCGGCAAAGGGAUGCAUCCGUUACCUGCAUGAUGCGGACAUAGUCGGUGCGAUGCAGCUCACCCUCCUUGAUCACUUUCUUCUUGAGCGUGGCAAGGUUCCUCUCCAGGUGUUCCCGCUGGCGGGCGUACUCCUGUUGCAGGUCUGAGUUCAACCCUGCAAUCUCCACCUGGCGCAUCACGUGGGGAGACACUCAGCCAAGGAGGGGAGAAGUGAAGCCUAGCACAGGGCAGUGAGGGCGGGGCGCUCAGAGCUCACCAUGUCUGCCCGCUGCACGUACUUCUCAAAGAGGCCACGGAUCUUCUCCUUCAGCAGCCCGGGUUCCUGGAUGUACGCCACGCAGUUGUGAAGGUCUGUCUUGAAGCGUCGGACCAGCGCUUCCAGAUCCCGUUCCUGCAAUCAGACGUUUACUCCUGGGACAGCAUGGCAUGCUCUGUUCUGAGGGGCAGGGGCUUCAGGCAGAGGCUAAUGAAGGGGUCUGGUGCCUCCUCAUCUGGGAUGAACACCUGACUGCUGGCGCCCACCCUGGGCACAGAAACCUAGAUGGGCAGCCAGCCCAAAGGUCGCCGUUCUGAAAUGCUUGUGUACCUGCCUGGGCCGGGUACCCUGCCUGGACAGCUGACAGGGCUUGAGACUGCACACAUGGCAUCCCGAUUGCUCCGGAUUCCUUUAAGGGCCUCAAGCUUAUAAGAUGGAAGGGAACUCAUGUGGCCACACUUUCCUUUGGCGCCAAGAAAAAUAUCUCAUUCCCUCCCACAGAUCCUUACCCAGGGCUGCCCCAUGCCUAAGGACCUCAGCAGUGAUGGUUCCCCUGACUGUCAGGAGCACUGUUGUGGCUGGAUGACAACUCCCUCCAGAUUGUUGUAGACUGGACCAGCUCUCCAUCUUCAGCCACGCUUUCUGACAGCUACCUUCCCUUAUCAUUACCCAAGAGGGUGUCUCCUUUUUCUCUUCUCUCAUAGCCCUUUAUUGACUUUCCAUGUGUGUGUGCACAUGUGUUUAUAUACACACUGACAUAUAAAAUUUCUCUCCAUAUAUAA